rnacentral:rRNA from 1 species
GAUGAACGCUAGCGGGAGGCCUAACACAUGCAAGCCGAGCGGUAGAGUUUCUUCGGCAUCUUGAGAGCGGCGCACGGGUGCGUAACACGUGUGCAACCUACCUUUAUCUGGGGGAUAGCCUUUCGAAAGGAAGAUUAAUACCCCAUAAUAUAAUGAUUGGCAUCAAUUAUUAUUGAAAACUCCGGUGGAUAGAGAUGGGCACGCGCAAGAUUAGAUAGUUGGUGAGGUAACGGCUCACCAAGUCAAUGAUCUUUAGGGGCCCUGAGAGGGAGAUCCCCCACACGUGUACUGAGGCACGGACCAGACUCCUACGGGAGGGAGCAGUGAGGAAGAGUGGACAAGGGGGGAGAGCCUGAUCCAGCCAUCCCGCGUGAAGGAUGACGGCCCUAUGGAUGGUAAUCUUCUUUUGGACAGGGAUAAACCUACCCUCGUGAGGGUAGCUGAAGGUACUGUACGAAUAAGCACCGGCUAACUCCGUG